rnacentral:rRNA from 1 species
GACGAACGCUGGCGGCGUGCCUAAUACAUGCAAGUCGAGCGAACGGACCAGAAGCUUGCUUCCCCGAUGUUAGCGGCGGACGGGAGAGUAACACGUGGACAACCUAACUAUACGACUGGGAUAACUUCGGGAAACCGGAGCUAAUACCGGAUAAUAUUUUGAACUGCAUUGUUCCAACGUGAAAGUCGCUCUUGCUGUCACUUAUAGAUUGCUCCGCGCUGCAUCAGCUAGUUGGUAAGGUAACGGCUUACCAAGGCAACGAUGCAAAGCCGACCUGAGCGGGUGAUCCGCCACACUGGAACUGAGACACGGUCCAGACUCCGACGGGAGGAAGCAGUAGGGAAUCUUACGGAAUGGGGGAAUGGGUGACAGAGCAACGUGGGGGGAGGGAUGAAGGAGUACGGAUCGGAAAGCGAUGUAAGUAUGGAAGAUGAAAUGUGUAAGUAACUGGGCACAUCUUGACGGUACCUAAUCAGAAAGCCACGGCUAACUACGUG